rnacentral:tRNA from 2 species
GCCGAAAUAGCUCAGCGGUAGAGCACUUCCAUGGUAAGGAAGGGGUCUCGGGUUCAAUCCCCGAUUUCGGCUCCA